rnacentral:rRNA from 1 species
GACGAAUGCUGGCGGCGUGCUUAACACAUGCAAGUCGAACGGAAAGGCCCUGCUUGCAGGGUACUCGAGUGGCGAACGGGUGAGUAACACGUGGGUGAUCUGCCCUGCACUUCGGGAUAAGCCUGGGAAACUGGGUCUAAUACCGGAUAGAAGCCAUUUUUAGUGUGAUGGUUGGAAAGUUUUUUCGGUGUAGGAUGAGCUCGCGGCCUAUCAGCUUGUUGGUGGGGUAAUGGCCUACCAAGGCGGCGACGGGUAGCCGGCCUGAGAGGGUGGACGGCCACAUUGGGACUGAGAUACGGCCCAGACUCCUACGGGAGGCAGCAGUGGGGAAUAUUGCACAAUGGGCGCAAGCCUGAUGCAGCGACGCCGCGUGGGGGAUGACGGCCUUCGGGUUGUAAACUCCUUUCGCUAGGGACGAAGCUUUUGUGACGGUACCUAGAUAAGAAGCACCGGCUAACUACGUG